rnacentral:rRNA from 1 species
AAUGGCUGCAGUAAUUUGACUGUACAAAGGUAGCAUAAUCAUUAGUUUUUUAAUUAAAAGCUUGUAUGAAAGGUUGGACGAAAUAAAUUCUGUCUCUUUAAAAUAAAAUUAGAAUUUAAUUUUUAAGUUAAAAAGCUUAAAUAUUUAUAAAAGACGAGAAGACCCUAUAGAGUUUUAUAAUUUAAAUUUAUUAAUUAAUUUAGAUUUAUUAAUUUUAUUUUUUUUAAAUUAUUUUAUUGGGGUAAUAGAAAGAUUAAAAAAAUUCUUUUUUUAUUAAAAAUCAUUAAUUUAUGAAAAUUUUAUGAUCCAUUAGAUUUUGAAUAUAAGAUUAAAUUACCUUAGGGAUAACAGCGUAAUUUUUUUUAAGAGUUCAUAUCGAUAAAAAAGUUUGCGACCUCGAUGUUGGAUUAAAGAUUAAUUUAGGUGUAGAAGUUUAAAUUUUUGGUCUGUUCGACCAUUGAAUCUUUACAUGAUCUGAGUUCAAACCGGUGUAAGCCAGGUUGGUUUCUAUCUUUAUUAAAAUUUUAUAUUUCAGUACGAAAGGACCAAUUAUAUUAUAUAUUUAUAUUUAAAUUAUUGAAUAU